AUGUUGUUUCCAGUCUCUCUCGGCUUCCCCAAUCCUAGAGGAUUAAAGGCGGCCAAGGCCAAUGAGUACGAGGUCACAGAGUACAAGGGUGACGUGAUGAACCCCUCCGCGGAGGAGUUCAUGCCGCUCUCCCGCCGCCUGUCGGCCGACGCGCCCGUCUACAUCCCGCCCGCGAUCGACUACUAUGCUCCUCCGUCCACCGACUCUGUCCGUGCAGGUCGCCAGUUUCCUUCCGCCCCAACCUUCUCCAUUGUCUCCCCAACUGGUACAUGUGUGAUCUUCAUGGAGCUAGCCAUCAUUGGAUUUGGUAAUACAUAA
rnacentral:rRNA from 1 species